rnacentral:rRNA from 1 species
UGGGGAAUAUUGGACAAUGGGCGAAAGCCUGAUCCAGCCAUGCCGCGUGAGUGAUGAAGGCCCUAGGGUUGUAAAGCUCUUUUGUGCGGGAAGAUAAUGACGGUACCGCAAGAAUAAGCCCCGGCUAACUUCGUGCCAGCAGCCGCGGUAAUACGAAGGGGGCUAGCGUUGCUCGGAAUCACUGGGCGUAAAGGGUGCGUAGGCGGGUCUUUAAGUCAGAGGUGAAAUCCUGGAGCCCAACUCCAGAACUGCCUUUGAUACUGAGGAUCUUGAGUUCGGGAGAGGUGAGUGGAACUGCGAGUGUAGAGGUGAAAUUCGUAGAUAUUCGCAAGAACACCAGUGGCGAAGGCGGCUCACUGGCCCGAUACUGACGCUGAGGCACGAAAGCGUGGGGAGCAAACAGGAUUAGAUACCCUCGUAGUCCCUGAGCGGGCUGGCAAGGCGCAU